CAGCCGCCGCGGGAAUACGUAGGGUGCAAGCGUUAAUCGGAAUUACUGGGCGUAAAGCGUGCGCAGGCGGUUCGUUAAGACAGAUGUGAAAUCCCCGGGCUUAACCUGGGAACUGCAUUUGUGACUGGCGGGCUAGAGUAUGGCAGAGGGGGGGCAGAAUUCCACGUGUAGCAGUGAAAUGCGUAGAGAUGUGGGGGAAUACCGAUGGCGAAGGCAGCCCCCUGGGCCAAUACUGACGCUCAUGCACGAAAGCGUGGGGAGCAAACAGGAUUAGAUACCCGAGUAGUCCCUGUCUCUUAUU
rnacentral:rRNA from 1 species